rnacentral:snRNA from 1 species
GUGCUCGCUUCGGCAGCACGUAUACUAAAAUUGGAACAAUAGAAAGAUUAGCAUGACCCCUGCGCAAGGAUGACAUGCAAAUUCGUGAAAGCAGUCCAUAUUUU